rnacentral:rRNA from 1 species
CCUACGGGAGGCUGCAGUGAGGAAUAUUGGUCAAUGGGCGAGAGCCUGAACCAGCCAAGUCGCGUGAGGGAGUACUGCCCUAUGGGUUGUAAACCUCUUUUGUCGGGGAGCAAAAGCCGGACGUGUCCGGCUGUGAGAGUACCCGAAGAAAAAGCAUCGGCUAACUCCGUGCCAGCAGCCGCGGUAAUACGGAGGAUGCGAGCGUUAUCCGGAUUUAUUGGGUUUAAAGGGUGCGCAGGCGGAUUUUUAAGUCAGCGGUAAAAUCGUGGGGCGCAACCCCAUCCAGCCGUUGAAACUGGGGAUCUAGAGUGUGAGAGAGGUAGGCGGAAUGCGUGGUGGAGGGGUGAAAUGCAUAGAUAUCACGAAGAACCCCGAUUGCGAAGGCAGCAGACCGGUGCACAACUGACGCUGAGGCACGAAAGCGUGGGUAUCGAACAGGAUUAGAGACCCCAGUAGUC